AGUGAACGCUGGCGGUAGGCCUAACACAUGCAAGUCGAACGGCAGCACAGUAAGAGCUUGCUCUUACGGGUGGCGAGUGGCGGACGGGUGAGGAAUACAUCGGAAUCUACUUUUUCGUGGGGGACAACGUAGGGAAACUUACGCUAAUACCGCAUACGACCUACGGGUGAAAGCAGGGGAUCUUCGGACCUUGCGCGAUUGAAUGAGCCGAUGUCGGAUUAGCUAGUUGGCGGGGUAAAGGCCCACCAAGGCGACGAUCCGUAGCUGGUCUGAGAGGAUGAUCAGCCACACUGGAACUGAGACACGGUCCAGACUCCUACGGGAGGCAGCAGUGGGGAAUAUUGGACAAUGGGCGGAAGCCUGAUCCAGCCAUACCGCGUGGGUGAAGAAGGCCUUCGGGUUGUAAAGCCCUUUUGUUGGGAAAGAAAAGCAGCAGGUUAAUACCCCGCUGUUCUGACGGUACCCAAAGAAUAAGCACCGGCUAACUUCGUG
rnacentral:rRNA from 1 species